UACGGGAGGCAGCAGUGGGGAAUAUUGCACAAUGGGCGCAAGCCUGAUGCAGCCAUGCCGCGUGUAUGAAGAAGGCCUUCGGGUUGUAAAGUACUUUCAGCGGGGAGGAAGGCGAUGCGGUUAAUAACCGCGUCGAUUGACGUUACCCGCAGAAGAAGCACCGGCUAACUCCGUGCCAGCAGCCGCGGUAAUACGGAGGGUGCAAGCGUUAAUCGGAAUUACUGGGCGUAAAGCGCACGCAGGCGGUCUGUUAAGUCAGAUGUGAAAUCCCCCGGGCUUAACCUGGGAACUGCAUUUUGAAACUGGCAGGCUUGAGUCUUGUAGAGGGGGUAGAAUUCCAGGUGUAGCGGUGAAAUGCGUAGAGAUCUGGAGGGAAUACCGGUGGCGAAGGGCGGCCCCCUGGGACAAAGACUGACGCUCAGGUGCGAAAGCUGGGGAGCAAACAGGAUUAGAUACC
rnacentral:rRNA from 1 species